UAACACUCCGGGACCCUAAAAUAAUGAAAAUCAAGCGUAAAACUACUCCAAAAGACACCAAUAGACGAGAUAAUGCUAACUUUAAAUACCCGACACAUAGGCUAAUUAUAUGUAAUAUCCAGUACAAGUAUAUUAUUUUUGGUAUAUUAUUGUGUGUUUUGAUAUGUUAUUGUUGCAUUAAAUAAAAUAUGAAUAUUAUUGGUAUUUGCUAAGUACAAUUAUAUAGUUAAUUAGAUUAAGUAUUUAUUUAAUAUUAAUUAUAUUAGAGAAUAAGUUAUUAGUAAAUAGUUGUAUGAUUAAGUGAUAAGAUUUGUUAUACAUGUAAUAAGAAUAUAGAUAAAAAUUAGUAUACUAUUUUAUACGUAUAGGUUUAUUAAAUAAAUAAGACUAGUGGUAUUUAUAAUAGGAAUAUAUAUAUUUUGUAUAAGCUUGAUAAUAAAAUAUAUAUAUAUAUAUUUGUAAAGGUUAUAGUAAUAGAUGAAUAGAGAGAGGGACACGUGAGAGUGAGAGAAGAAUGGGGAAGUUAGUUUAAGAUAUUUGACUUAGUUGAAUUUAAAUUUAAAUUAUGAGGAAUUUUAUAUUAGUAAUUAAUCAAUAUUUUAUUCCUUAAAAAAAAAAAAGGUAUAGCUGAGUUUAAAUUUUAAAUUCCUAGAUUUUAUCUAAUCAGUUGAAUAUAUACGAUAUGGUUUUACCAUUCAAUGAAACGAUGAACACAAAUUUCAUUCUCUACUUCUUUCUCUCCACUUAGAUAAUUCCUAAAUCUCUCAUAGCCUCUAUCACACCAAAUUACAGCAUAGCAUAAAUUGAAGCCUCUAUCACAAUAUUCAAUUUCUAAGGGCCUAGAAGGUAUCGUAGGAGUUAAUUACAGCGGAGUUGAGAUAAGUAAGCCUGUAAGCUUUCGGUGACAAGUUGAGUCUGGGCAGCAUGGGGUGUAUCUCGUGUGAUCAUGUAACUGCGUGUGGUCUUGGCCAUCUUCCGCUGAAAGUUUUUUUUUUUUAAUUUAUUAAACUUAUCGAGGAUGUUGUCGUUUAAAUUUUCUAUUACUUUUCCCUAAGUGGUAAUACUUUAUUUUCAACUGGGUACCCAUGUUUUGAAAAUUGUUUUUUUUUAAUAAAGGCAACAUUAGUAUCUUAACGCCAGUUUAUUUAUGGCAUCUUAUUUUAUAUAAGUAAGGGCGUUACAUUAUAACCUAACAACUACCUAAAAAAGGACAUGCCGUUUUUCUGUGUCUUGCACCAGUAAAAACGGUAGGCUGUUUCUACAGAAAUGGCCUGCCGUUUUUCACUGCAGAAAAACAUAGGUACCCUAAAACGAUCUAAAUCUACCCCAAAACAUACCACAAGCUCCAGAACACCUAAUUGAGGAUCAAUAAACAUAUACCAACUGAAAAUUUUAUAAUCAAGCUACUAAAAUUAAAAUCACCAUUAAAGGGUCAUUUUUGAGCUUAAAAGCUCCAUACUAGCUUAAACACUACCAUAGCCACAAAAACCAGCUUGAACCAACUUGAAUAAUCAAAAAUCAAUAAAAGGAAGUACUCUAAAACAAACUCGUACCGCACAGAUAGAAAACCCUAGAAAUCAUAUAUGCUUGAAACCUUACUUUAACUAAGGAAAACAAAGGAAAAAGACUUGCGUUGAUUAACACUUGUGAG